rnacentral:lncRNA from 1 species
CAAAGGUUCUCAGCCUCUAGCCCAGCUGGAAUCUCCAGGAAGAGGCAGAGACAGUUUGGUGAAAAAGAGGCAGGGGAGGAGGGGGUGGUGAGAGGAGAAAGCAGCCUUCCAAUUGAAGAUCAGCCCUCAGGUAAAGGUCAGCUUCGGGCAGGCUGGCCUCAGGCGGAGUCAGGGUCAGAGGAAGGAGCAGCAGCAGGGUGGGACUGGGGCAUUCUACAUCUCAUUCAGGUCAAGCAGAGUCUGGUCCAGCAUCCUUUGUGUACAGAGGUGUUCCUCUUUGGUGCAUUUCAGUUUAUCUUCCAACAUCCUUUGUGUACAGAGGUGUUCCUCUUUGGUGCAUUUCAGUUUAUCU